rnacentral:lncRNA from 1 species
GGCAGGUGCCCAGAAGGCAGCGGAUAAAGUGUUUUCUUUUGGCAGUGGAAACGCCUGCUUACAGUACUUCCACAAGGCUAGGGUCUCAUCUGCCCCACUUGCCAUGCUGUCCUCUGCGUCUAGAACCAUGCCUGCCUGGCACAGAGUAGGCAACAAAUAACUAUUUUAGGAAGAAUGUCACUUUUAUCCUAGGCCUGUCCCACCGUCGUAUUUUGGAAGCGGAUAACUUGUUUUUUAGUUUUACUGGUAGACAGGUGGAAGGGAGUUUUGACCCAGAAUGGACCAUAUGUGACGUCUCACCAGUACUUGGUUGAGAUGAUGAGAUUUGGGACUUUUGAGCUAAGAAGGUUUAAAGAGAUUUUGGACUUAGAGUUGAUGCUGUCAGGGGCUGAGACAUUAAGGGCUACUGGUUUAUGGUGGAUGUAUCUUGCACAUGGGGCGGAUGUGAAUAAGCCAGAAAAUGUAUGUGCAUGUUCAGAGAGAGAGCAGGAGACUUAGGGGUAUUCUUUCCACCAUUAAAAACAAUUUUGGAGGCGUUCCCAUCAUGGCUCAGCAGGUUACGAACCUAACUAGUGUCCAUGAGGAUACUGGUUCCAUCCCUGGCCUUGCUCAGUGGGUUAAGGAUCCGGCAUGGCUGUUGACUGUGGUGUAGGUCACAGACGUGGCUCAGAUCUGGUGUUGCUGUGACUCUGCCGGCCUACACCACAGCCACAGCAACACAGGAUCUGAGCCGCGUCUGCAACCUACACGGCAAUGCCAGAUCCUUAACCCAUUGAGCGAGGCCAGGGAUUGAACCCCAGUCCUCAUGGAUGCUACUCGGGUUUGUUACCACUGAGCCACAACGGGAACUCCCCCCAUUCCAUUCUUUCAAGAGUUCCUUCACCUGACAGAAGCUGGAAAAUCCGUGAACUUGCUGUUCCAUCUCCCUUUUCGGACCUUCUUGGCAGCCAGGCCGGGGUUCCCACCUUGUGCAAUGAUUUUUGAUGGCGACCCGGGGCGAUGGCCUCCUCCCUCCUACUGUGCCUGUUGUGUCACCAUAAAAUACGGUAUUGAGCGAAGACAGGAAACCUACUUUAAGUGUCAGAGCCUGAGCAAUAGGAACUUUCAUUUUCUGGCUGUCUCCUUUCAAGUCCAAGCUCAGCUUGUUGAGGCCUGAAAAGCUGAGAUGAAAUAGUAGUUCAUGUGCCUAUUUUAUUUCUAGACUCAUCUUCCUGGAUCCUGAAUUCUGUGGUGAUUCACGCCUCAGUUAUAAGUAGCCAUAGAAAACUGUGUGAGGAAGGCCGGAUGCAUCUGUGAUCUUGUCUACUUUCUGCCCAUUCUUUGAACCUACUAUGCGCCACUCCCUCUAAGUUAUCACUUCUCUGCUGCCAUCACUAGUCCUGAACUCUCUUCCCCGGAGCCCUCAGUCACCAAGGGCUUUGAGGUCAUUCUUUGUCUGAGAUCCUUUUCCAUCCAUGUGCCAACACCCUAGUCCAGGCCUAUCUCCUUCACCAUCAGUCCCCCAGUGGGCACAAGGGCUAGAAAAAUCAAUGAGAUGCCAACUGCCCUUGGCGUCUAGGGACCCAUAAUCUUUUAUACAUCUUGAUUUUCCUAUAGCUCUGUAGUCUCCAUCAUGACUUGUAUUUAUAUUUCACUGUAUAUUUUUCUUUCAUUGAUUCGUUUGUAUAAAUUCUGUCUCUCCCGUAAAAAUGCUCAUGGAUUUCCCACCUUUCCCUAUAACUCCUCAGUCCUGUUCUUCCUAGCCAGCCACUCUCAUCUUCCACAUAAUUUAAGAAUUUCUUGGAGUUCCCUGAUGGCUCAGUGGGUUAAGGAUCUGGCACUGUCACUGCUGUGGCUUGGGUUACUGCUGUGACACAGGUUCCACUCCUAGCCCAGGAACUUCUGCAUACCAUGGCACAGUCCCCCCCC